rnacentral:rRNA from 1 species
UACGGGGGGGGCAAGCGUUGUUCGGAAUUACUGGGCGUAAAGGGCUCGUAGGCGGCCAACUAAGUCAGACGUGAAAUCCCUCGGCUUAACCGGGGAACUGCAUCUGAUACUGGAUGGCUUGAGAUUGGGAGAGGGAUGCGGAAUUCCAGGUGUAGCGGUGAAAUGCGUAGAUAUCUGGAGGAACACCGGUGGCGAAGGCGGCAUCCUGGACCAACACUGACGCUGAGACACGAAAGCCAGGGGAGCAAACGGG